CUGCACCCAGUUCAUUGAAAAGACUCAAAUGUUGCUUGUUAAAUUGAAAUGAAUUACUGUAAGAACAGUAACAGAACCAUGAAUGGGAGCUAAAUUCCUGAAAUCCUUUGGUUACCAGCUCUUUUGUGUUGGUGGGAUGAAAGACAGAGGACAACUACUACAAGUAGAAGGAACAAAGUGUUCCCUUGGGUCCUCUGCAUUGACUGCAAACGUGGCUGGAAAGGAUCAGCAUAGAACCUUCGCUUUCGUAAUAAUGACAAAACCGGAGGACAGAGGAAAUGUUGCAAAUGGGUCCUCAGUGGACACCAGCUCUUCUGAAAGUUUCUUUUGCUGAUGUGAGACAUUCACUAAAGGCCAAAUAGUCAAGGUGAAUGGGAAUGUGGUAAGAAUCACCACCUCGGCACCUUUCAAAUCUUUGAUGGUGGCACUCAUCUCUGCAAUCCCUCCAGUAAUGAGAAUGUGGCUAACACAGGACACUGCAGAGCAUGGCUUCAGUCCAGCCUAAGACUCAGUCUGAACUUCCAGGACCUCCCAUUUGCAUGAAGGUAAUUUUGAUUGAGAGACUUUGUACAUUAUUUACUGCCAGCAUCUGAGUUCACGGGUGUUACCCAUAAUAACGCAUGUAUCGAUAGAGGUGGAACGGGGACACGUCUUUUCUAAUAAAUAACUAAAGCUUUGAAAAGUUAUUUUUUUCUUUGUUUUCCUGCUUCCCAAUACCAAAAUUUGAAACGAAUAGCUAUUUAAAGGAUUUUUAAAAAUAUAGUGCAAGUAUAUGAAGAGAUAUUUGCAUAGAAUAGCAUACCAAUGAUUAAUAAAUAUGUUGCAUAACCCCAGUGUUAUAUAUACAUCAA